UACGUAGGGGGGGCAAGCGUUGUCCGGAUUUAUUGGGCGUAAAGAGCGUGUAGGCGGCCUGACAAGUCUGCUGUGAAAACUCGAGGCUCAACCUCGAGAUGUCGGCGGAAACUGUCUGGCUAGAGUCCGGAAGAGGAGAGUGGAAUUCCUGGUGUAGCGGUGAAAUGCGCAGAUAUCAGGAAGAACACCCGUGGCGAAGGCGGCUCUCUGGUACGUGACUGACGCUGAGACGCGAAAAGCGUGGGGAGCGAACAGG
rnacentral:rRNA from 1 species